rnacentral:rRNA from 1 species
AUUGAACGCUGGCGGCAGGCCUAACACAUGCAAGUCGAACGGUAACAGGAAGCAGCUUGCUGCUUUGCUGACGAGUGGCGGACGGGUGAGUAAUGUCUGGGAAACUGCCUGAUGGAGGGGGAUAACUACUGGAAACGGUAGCUAAUACCGCAUAACGUCGCAAGACCAAAGAGGGGGAGCUUCGGGCCUCUUGCCAUCGGAUGUGCCCAGAUGGGAUUAGCUAGUAGGUGGGGUAACGGCUCACCUAGGCGACGAGCCCUAGCUGGUCUGAGAGGAUGACCGGCCACCCUGGAACUGAGACACGGUCCAGACUCCUACGGGAGGCAGCAGUGGGGAAUAUUGCACAAUGGGCGCAAGCCUGAUGCAGCCAUGCCGCGUGUAUGAAGAAGGCCUUCGGGUUGUAAAGUACUUUCAGCGGGGAGGAAGGGAGUAAAGUUAAUACCUUUGCUCAUUGACGUUACCCGCAGAAGAAGCACCGGCUAACUCCGUG